CUUUCCAGAGCUAGAAAAUUCCUGCCUGUCCUUCAAGAUUCAGAUCAAAUGUAACAUCUUCCAGAAAGACUGGAUUGUUUUUGGUAUUACAUCUGGGAAAUCUUUUCUUAACCCCAAGUCACAAAGAAGUUGCUUUACUUUCUGCAUUAGGCUUCUUUGCAAGAUGAUGCUGAAGAAUGUUUAAAUGUUUACAAGUCAUUGGCCUACCGAUGUUACAAACCAACUUUCUGGGCUCUAUUUACAAAGAACAAAAACACGCAAUGAAUUCCAGAUUGAAGUUUCAAUGCAUACUCAGAUUUCAGAUUAUAAACAGCCAGGCAAAGGAUGAAAGAUUCUCAAAAAGUAAGUGAUUUUAAAUUACUUUUUUCAUUUUUUUUUCCUUUUUGUGCAGAACAAGGUCUCACUAUGUUGCCAGGCAGGUCUCAAACUCCUGGGCUCAAGCUAUCCUCCUAACUCUGCCUCCCUAAGUGCUGGGAUUAUAGGUGUGAGCUGCCAUGCCAGGCUUAAAUUACUUUUUCAAAGAAAGCUUAGAAACUUUUUGGUAAGACAGUAAUACCAAUGAAAAUAACAACUGUAGUCACUGUUUACCGUACUAAGCCAUCCAUUGUGUGUAAAGCAUUUUACAUAAA
rnacentral:lncRNA from 1 species